UGCGGCAGCUUACCAUGCAGUCGAGCGGUAACAGGGGGUGCUUGCACCCCGCUGACGAGCGGCGGACGGGUGAGUAAUGCAUAGGAAUCUGCCCAGUAGUGGGGGAUAGCCCGGGGAAACCCGGAUUAAUACCGCAUACGCCCUUUGGGAGAAAGCAGGGGAUCUUCGGACCUUGCGCUAUUGGAUGAGCCUAUGUCGGAUUAGCUAGUUGGUGGGGUAAAGGCCUACCAAGGCGACGAUCCGUAGCUGGUCUGAGAGGAUGAUCAGCCACAUCGGGACUGAGACACGGCCCGAACUCCUACGGGAGGCAGCAGUGGGGAAUAUUGGACAAUGGGGGCAACCCUGAUCCAGCCAUGCCGCGUGUGUGAAGAAGGCUUUCGGGUUGUAAAGCACUUUCAGUGAGGAGGAAAACCUUCUGGUUAAUACCCAUGAGGCUUGACGUUACUCACAGAAGAAGCACCGGCUAACUCCGUGCCAGCAGCCGCGGUAAUACGGAGGGUGCAAGCGUUAAUCGGAAUUACUGGGCGUAAAGCGCGCGUAGGUGGUUUGAUAAGCGAGAUGUGAAAGCCCCGGGCUUAACCUGGGAACGGCAUUUCGAACUGUCAGGCUA
rnacentral:rRNA from 1 species